CAACGGAGCCUCUGCCUCAGGAAACAUACCAGAGGGGAAGGAAGGGAAAGAACGUGUUGAAUUACAAAGUUCAGUGGGCAAAUACAGCUCUUCUCUGUCUCUCUGGAAAUGUAUCAGCUAACCAGCAAGCCAGGUGGUAAAGCCCGAUAUCCCGCGGGAGCGCUGGGUCCCAAGGCCUGGGAACUUCAGCAAUGCUGCAUGAGAGUACCCUAACUGUGGGUAUAUGCUUGCCUCAGGAUAGAGCCUGAAGAAUGCCAUGGCUGCUCCUGUUUGCCAGCCCCAGACAUGACACAUGCUGUUUUAAAGUCCCUUCACAGAUUAUAGCAACCCCAUGAAGUAAAAAGGCAUACCCAGACCUACUCUGUAAGUACAGAGAGAAUAAGGGCUUUAUCCAAGGUGAAGAAAUGAAUGAAGACCAAGAUCUGAGUCCUAGGUAGGCUGAUGACAGCUGAAGAAGACUGUAUUUGCUGAGGAGCAGCAUGAUGGUAGAGAGGAGCAGAGCUCCUGAGGGAGACCUAAUGGUUCCUCUCCUUCCUGCACGGAGAUAAAGACUUAUAAUAAGCGUGCAUGUUCACCAUCUGGCUCUGUGCAUGUGGUCCUUAUGGAGGGGAGAGCAGCACAAUCUGUAAAUGAUCAGAAGCCAUGGCGCUCUCUCCAGAGAAUCCACGAUGCAAUCAAGGUGACAGAUGGCAUGGCCACUGCUGUGGCCUCGUGGAGAAGAUCAAAAUCACCUUCAAUAAACUCUGACUGAAAUGGGCACGAGCACCUCAAAAAAGUCAGUUUGUCAGUCAAACUGCGACAGCAAGCUGCAUUGGGGAAACAUAGCGGCCAGCUCUCUGUUUUCAAUCGUUUCCGUCUGACUGGGCCUGAACUAUGAUCUUUCUCAAAUUGUCCUUUCUGUUUAGCUGAAGCAGGCCAGCAAAUUGCCAGAUUCAUCGCUUUAUUGAAGAAAAUUGAAAACACGAUGUCCUCAAUUCCGGGGACGCACGGCUGGCAGGUGCUGGGACACCCAAGCACUGCGAGUGGGUCCCUGUGUCUUCAGCCCAAGUUUGCUCAACUUGAGGCAGAUUUUUGGAAAUGAAAAUAAAAUACAAAUGUACGCCUGGCCUGAAAAGAUCAGCUGGCAAUGGAUAUAUGAAGCGUUUUAGGUGUCCAAUAAAUGUGUGUCGAAU